UUCGCAAUGCCCGAAAGGGUGACGAAGCGACGCCGCGUGCGGGAAGAAGGCCUUCGGGUUGUAAACCGCUGUCGGGAGUUAAGAAAUGUAAGGAUGUUAAUAGCGUCUUUGCUUGACUAAGGCUCCGGAGGAAGCCACGGCUAACUCUGUGCCAGCAGCCGCGGUAAUACAGAGGCGGCAAGCGUUGUUCGGAAUUAUUGGGCGUAAAGAGCACGUAGGCGGCCUUGUAAGUCAGUUGUGAAAGCCUUCUGCUUAACGGAAGAACGGCAUCUGAUACUGCAAGGCUAGAGUGCGGAAGGGGAGAGUGGAACUUCUGGUGGAGCGGUGAAAUGCGUAGAUAUCAGAAGGAACGCCGGCGGCGAAAGCGGCUCUCUGGCCCAUAACUGACGCUGAGUGUGCGAAAGCUAGGGGAGCAAACGGGAUUAGAUACCCCGGUAGUCCUAGCCGUAAACGAUGGGCACUAAGUAGAGGGGUUUU
rnacentral:rRNA from 1 species